rnacentral:rRNA from 1 species
UACGUAGGGUGCAAGCGUUAUCCGGAAUUAUUGGGCGUAAAGAGCUCGUAGGCGGUCUGUCGCGUCUGCUGUGAAAACUGGGGGCUCAACCCCCAGCCCUGCAGUGGGUACGGGCAGACUAGAGUGCGGGUAGGGGAGAUUGGAACUCCUGGUGUAGCGGUGGAAUGCGCAGAUAUCAGGAAGAACACCCGUGGCUAAGGCGGCUCUCUAGUACGGUACUGACGCUGAGACGCGAAAGCGUGGGGAGCGAACAGG